UGUGUGUCCUGACAAAAAACAGCCUGAGGGAAAGAGAGAAUGUCCCUAUUCCCACACAUUCUUCCAAACUUAAGUUUCCCAGCCACAAAAGGUCACUUGAGCAAAGAGAAAUUCCCAAACCAGUUCAUAUCCUUUCCCAUUUCUUACAUGGGGGUCCUACAGUCACCAUGGAGCAUCAUAGCAAGCGAGAACUGGGCAUGUGUCUGCAACCACAAAUGCUGUUCCAGGCACAGAAGGAUCACAGGUCCAGGUUACAGAGCUCCCAGCAUCACCCAGCAUCUCCCUGGCCACUGUGCAGAGCAUCUACUAAGGACUGAGAGCAAAUACAGCACAGCACAAGAUUUUAGGCAAGACAGAUGGUUCAGACAUGAUUUCCUACAAAUCUUACUUGCCUUUGGCACAGCCAGGUUUGUCAGAUAAUGGCAGUGACAGUUAGUUGAAUGUUCAGUUUAGUGCUUUGAGCAGCGGGUACCUUCCGAUUGAGAUUAUUUGCAUGGAAUAACACAAAGCUCCAUCAGCAGAGUGGCUCUCCUGGAAAAUAAUGACGUUUGGCUGUGCAGGAGCCAGGACAAAGCCCACUCCCUGCCUGUAAUCCACUGGAAGCCACUCAAUAGCACUUGAGCAGGGUCUGAGGGGGCAGGGCUGUGUGCCAGACCUCUGCCUGCAGCCAAGGCGUUAUGCAUUAUUUAACAAAAGGUGUCAGGCUGACUUUUUGCACUGGCUGAAAGCAAAAUCACAGCCAUUUGAAGCGGGCUCUUUGGAAACUAAAAUUAUCUUCACAUCACAUUUCUUCUCCAGUAACGCCAGCAUUACAUUUUCUCAAAUUCUGAGUCAGACAUCAGGAAAAAGAGUAAAAAUGUAAUAAGCUCAAAUAUCACAGAAUCCUUCAGGUUGGAAAGACUUCUAAGACCAUCAUGUCCAACCAUUAAA